rnacentral:rRNA from 1 species
AGCAGCCGCGGUAAUUCCAGCUCCAAUAGCGUAUAUUAAAGUUGUUGCAGUUAAAAAGCUCGUAGUUGAAUUUCGAGACUGGUUUAUUGGUCGUGCUUUUGUACGUACUGGUAUUAUUGGUUUCUCCUUUCUGACGAAUCAUAAUGCCAUUAAUUUGGUGUUUUGGGGAAUCAGGACUGUUACUUUGAAAAAAUUAGAGUGUUUAAAGCAGGCUCACGCUUGAAUACAUUAGCAUGGAAUAACGGAAUAGGACGUUUGAUUCUAUUUUGUUGGUUUCUAGGAUCGACGUAAUGAUUAAUAGGGAUAGUUGGGGGCAUUAGUAUUCAAUUGUCAGAGGUGAAAUUCUUGGAUUUAUUGAAGACUAACUACUGCGAAAGCAUUUGCCAAGGAUGUUUUCAUUAACCAAGAACGAAAGUUAGGGGAUCGAAGACGAUCAGAUACCGUCGUAGUCUUAACUAUAAACUAUGCCGACUAGGGAUCGGAUGAUGUUAAUUUUAAUGACUCAUUUCGGCGCCUUACG